UGUGAUGAUGGGCUGCUCAUCAGCAGAAGAACCUGCAGCAACAUGAUGUGUCUCGGACACCUUCAGCUGAGUGAAGAAGCCUCUCAAGAGUGCCCACUGCAGGACUCAUUCUGAUUAUGUUUUAGAAGAGGCACCACUGAUGUUUACCGAAAACUAGCAUGUCCGUUGCCAUGUACUUUUCAGCAACAGAGGCAUUGUUCUGGAGUAGUCUAUGAACUGUAGACAGAUUCUCAGUAUUCCACAGGCCACUGGCCUUGGGUGCAUCCAGGAAAAUUCCCACUCCUACGCCAAGGUUUCUAAUCGUCAGAUCCUCAAGCUGUCCAGGCUGCUGUGA
rnacentral:lncRNA from 13 species